AUUGAACGCUGGCGGCAUGCCUUACACAUGCAAGUCGAACGGCAGCACGGGUGCUUGCACCUGGUGGCGAGUGGCGAACGGGUGAGUAAUACAUCGGAACAUGUCCUGUAGUGGGGGAUAGCCCGGCGAAAGCCGGAUUAAUACCGCAUACGAUCUACGGAUGAAAGCGGGGGACCUUCGGGCCUCGCGCUAUAGGGUUGGCUGAUGGCUGAUUAGCUAGUUGGUGGGGUAAAGGCCUACCAAGGCGACGAUCAGUAGCUGGUCUGAGAGGACGACCAGCCACACUGGGACUGAGCCACGGCCCAGACUCCUACGGGAGGCAGCAGUGGGGAAUUUUGGACAAUGGGCGAAAGCCUGAUCCAGCAAUGCCGCGUGUGUGAAGAAGGCCUUCGGGUUGUAAAGCACUUUUGUCCGGAAAGAAAUCCUUGGCCCUAAUACGGUCGGGGGAUGACGGUACCGGAAGAAUAAGCACCGGCUAACUACGUG
rnacentral:rRNA from 1 species